CAUGCAAGUCGAACGAUGAAGCGGUGCUUGCACCGUGGAUUAGUGGCGAACGGGUGAGUAACACGUGAGUAACCUGCCCUUGACUCUGGGAUAAGCCUGGGAAACUGGGUCUAAUACCGGAUAUGACCAUCUGGCGCAUGCCAUGGUGGUGGAAAGCUUUUGUGGUUUUGGAUGGACUCGCGGCCUAUCAGCUUGUUGGUGGGGUAAUGGCCUACCAAGGCGACGACGGGUAGCCGGCCUGAGAGGGUGACCGGCCACACUGGGACUGAGACACGGCCCAGACUCCUACGGGAGGCAGCAGUGGGGAAUAUUGCACAAUGGGCGCAAGCCUGAUGCAGCGACGCCGCGUGAGGGAUGACGGCCUUCGGGUUGUAAACCUCUUUCAGUAGGGAAGAAGCUUUCGGGUGACGGUACCUGCAGAAGAAGCGCCGGCUAACUACGUGCCAGCAGCCGCGGUAAUACGUAGGGCGCAAGCGUUAUCCGGAAUUAUUGGGCGUAAAGAGCUCGUAGGCGGUUUGUCGCGUCUGCUGUGAAAGACCGGGGCUCAACUCCGGUUCUGCAGUGGGUACGGGCAGACUAGAGUGAUGUAGGGGAGACUGGAAUUCCUGGUGUAGCGGUGAAAUGCGCAGAUAUCAGGAGGAACACCGAUGGCGAAGGCAGGUCUCUGGGCAUUAACUGACGCUGAGGAGCGAAAGCAUGGGGAGCGAACAGGAUUAGAUACCCUGGUAGUCCAUGCCGUAAACGUUGGGCACUAGGUGUGGGGGACAUUCCACGUUUUCCGCGCCGUAGCUAACGCAUUAAGUGCCCCGCCUGGGGAGUACGGCCGCAAGGCUAAAACUCAAAGGAAUUGACGGGGGCCCGCACAAGCGGCGGAGCAUGCGGAUUAAUUCGAUGCAACGCGAAGAACCUUACCAAGGCUUGACAUGAACCGGUAACGCCUGGAAACAGGUGCCCCGCUUGCGGUCGGUUUACAGGUGG
rnacentral:rRNA from 1 species